AUUGAACGCUGGCGGCAGGCCUAACACAUGCAAGUCGAGCGGAUGACGGGAGCUUGCUCCUUGAUUCAGCGGCGGACGGGUGAGUAAUGCCUAGGAAUCUGCCUGGUAGUGGGGGACAACGUUUCGAAAGGAACGCUAAUACCGCAUACGUCCUACGGGAGAAAGCAGGGGACCUUCGGGCCUUGCGCUAUCAGGUGAGCCUAGGUCGGAUUAGCUAGUUGGUGAGGUAAUGGCUCACCAAGGCGACGAUCCGUAACUGGUCUGAGAGGAUGAGCAGUCACACGGAAACUAAGACACGGUCCAGACUCCUACGGGAGGCAGCAGUGGGGAAUAUUGGACAAUGGGCGAAAGCCUGAUCCGGCCAUGCGGCGGGUGUGAAGAAGGUCUUCGGAUUGUAAAGCACUUUAAGUUGGGAGGAAGGGCAGUAAGCUAAUACCUUGCUGUUUUGACGUUACCGACAGAAUAAGCACCGGCUAACUCUGUGCCAGCCGCCGCAGUAA
rnacentral:rRNA from 1 species